UGGGGAAUAUUGCGCAAUGGGCGAAAGCCUGACGCAGCGACGCCGCGGGGGGGAGGAAGGUUUUCGGAUCGUAAACCUCUGUCAGAAGGGAAGAAACCGCACUGUGCUAAUCAGCAGUGCCUUGACGGUACCUUCAAAGGAAGCACCGGCUAACUCCGUGCCAGCAGCCGCGGUAAUACGGAGGGUGCAAGCGUUAAUCGGAAUUACUGGGCGUAAAGCGCACGUAGGCUGCUUUGUAAGUCAGGGGUGAAAUCCCACGGCUCAACCGUGGAACUGCCUUUGAUACUGCUUAGCUUGAAUCCGGGAGAGGGUGGCGGAAUUCCAGGUGUAGGAGUGAAAUCCGUAGAUAUCUGGAGGAACAUCAGUGGCGAAGGCGGCCACCUGGACCGGUAUUGACGCUGAGGUGCGAAAGCGUGGGGAGCAAACAGG
rnacentral:rRNA from 1 species